rnacentral:lncRNA from 1 species
CGGGGGGCUGGAUCUCCCAAGUAGGUUCAAUGAUUUUCAAAACGGGGGGCUGGAUCUCCCAAGAAGGUUAAGUUUGAACUUUGGUUAUGAUUAUCGGCAAUGAUUUUCAGGUAUUGGUUUUGAUCAUGCAAUUAAAAUGUCUUAUCCACAUCACUUUUUUGGAUUAUGUGCAGCCCAAGCUGAUUAAUAGUAUGGGCACGCGUGAUGACACAUCAAAGGAAAUGUAAUCUUUCAUGACAUCAUGAUUGCGAUUAAUGUUUGUUUUGUUUGUUUGUAAACGAUAACAAAGUGUCAAAGAUACUAAUUAGUGUAUGUAAGAUCACUCUAGUGGACGUGAGAAUCCAAUAUCCUUACAAUAUUAGUAAGCACAAGAAAAUCUGUAACCAAUAAUUUGCAAAAUAGUGUUUGGUUAUCAUAUAAUUUGAGAAAUUAUAAGAUACCAUCAGAAUACACAACUAAAUAAUAUUAUAUUAUGUGUUGAGC